rnacentral:rRNA from 1 species
AGUCGGACGGCAGCACAGAGAAGCUUGCUUCUUGGGUGGCGAGUGGCGAACGGGUGAGUAAUAUAUUGGAACGUACCGAGUAAUGGGGGAUAACUUGCCGAAAGGUAAGCUAAUACCGCAUACGCUCUGAGGAGGAAAGCAGGGGACCUUCGGGCCUUGCGUUAUUCGAGCGGCCAAUAUCUGAUUAGCUAGUUGGUGGGGUAAAGGCCUACCAAGGCGACGAUCAGUAGCGGGUCUGAGAGGAUGAUCCGCCACACUGGGACUGAGACACGGCCCAGACUCCUACGGGAGGCAGCAGUGGGGAAUUUUGGACAAUGGGCGCAAGCCUGAUCCAGCCAUGCCGCGUGUCUGAAGAAGGCCUUCGGGUUGUAAAGGACUUUUGUCAGGGAAGAAAAGGUUGUGGCUAAUAUCCAUGACUGAUGACGGUACCUGAAGAAUAAGCACCGGCUAA